AUUUGUGAUUAUAAUCACAAUAAUAAAAUGAUCAAAUCAAGAUAUUACAUAAAUCCAAUAAACUUAUACGCUUUUAACACGAUCAAAUUUCGCUUAAAUCGUGGCCUAAGUGUUAAGACGUCUGCUUAAAUGUUAUUUGUUUAAGAAGAUUAAGGUUCCGAGUUCAAGUACUAAUCGAUUCUUUUCUUCUCUUUCCAUUACAGGUAUAAAUGGCUGAAAAAAACGUAGCAAAGUUCUUGGCUUCAUUGACUGGCAACGUCGAUAUGGACGAAGACGAUCUGGAGGUUGAGCGUGCCAAGUUGGAAGCCAAGCAAGCUAAGCUGAUGGUUAAACGGGAUAAGCAGCAUUACGAAGAGCAAGCCAAGCUAGCACAGCUGAAAGCCAAGCGAGUAAAGCUGCUGGUUAAACGGCGUAAGCUGCGACACAAGUUUAGAGAAGCAGCUGCGGAGCUGACAUCCAUUGAGGAAGACUUUGAAAUGAUCCAGGAUCAGUUGCACAAGUUGCGUGCUGAACGAGUUGAACCAGUUGCUAGUGUAAAGCAAGAAAAAUAAAUGUAAAAUAAAAAUGAAAUAAAGUAGAAUAGCCAGAAAAAAUUUUUCAAUUAAGUUAUUAAUCUUAUUAGAUUAAAGUUUAGUAAACUGAAAUUUGAUAAUAAAAUCUAAUUGUAUUUAUAUUCACCCGUUAAUCAGUGACUUGCAAAAUGUUAUUCCAAUAAUUAUCAAUACGACCCAACGGAUAUUGGAAACGUUGUCCAAGGAUUUAAAACCAAAGAUUAUACUGGGAUAUGUCAUCAUUUUUUGAGAGGUCAAUGUAAAUAUGGUGCUGGUUGUGUUCAUAAACACGUUACACCUCAUGAACUUCAACUCCUCGACAAAGAAGAAGUUCUUUUAGAACACUCUGAUAUGAUAUACUUAACCGGCUUACUGGUUUCAUAAUGGACGUAAAUUAAACAAGAGCUCCAUCUAAACCAAUAUCUCAUUAAUCUCCAAUAAUAUCCAUUGUUCAACAGAGAAAUGGUGGUAUCUCAUUGGAAUUGAAUUCAUAGACGAUACCCAAACCAAUCAAGAUUUAAUACCCUUGUAAACAUAAGAUAACUUUAAGAUGAGACUCGAGAAGAUCUUGAGCUUGUCGAUUCUUUGAACAUAAACUAGUUGAUUCGAGGUUCGAGUUCCCGAAUCAAAAGAUUCUGUAAAAAGUAAAAUAAAAUAAAAUGUAAAUAAGAUAAACGAUU